UGGGGGAUCGUCUAACGGUAGGACAGUGGCCUUUGAAGCCAUUAAUCUAGGUCCGAUUCCUAGUCCCCCAGCCA
rnacentral:tRNA from 3 species